ACAUCAUUGGCCUUUUGAUAACAGGUAUGCUGCUGUUUGGUGUUGGCAGCUUGCUGUUCUAUCGCAAAAUUCAACUGACGGGAGCCGCUCUAUUGGAAGUGAAGAAGCUGCCGGUCACUCUGGAUGGCUUGGCGCGAAUGUCCAACACUCAGACUCAAGCGGUGACUGAGCUCAACCGCAAUAUUCUUGCGACUUUGCUGUUUUGGAGACACUCCGUGCGAUUGAAAAUACCAUGGAGACGUUGGAAUCCACGCUGCGAAAGAAUUUUCGGCUCUGAAUGAUUGGCGCCAGUGAGGAGAUACAGACCAAGGACUCAAGGCUGUCUGGAAUUGUUGGAGGCCGUCUCUCAAAAAAAAAACAACGCUAUCUGGCCUUUCGCCUGGAUGGAAAUAUGCAUGGAGUCUAGGGCCACCACCACCCCCCCCCUUUCUCGGCCAUGGACUAAUAAGCCGGGACUGUCUUCAUGAUGAGCAGACCUCGACGAAGCAGCUAUGACGUGUACACGCAUACACAUACACGACUGGACAAGCACACGCGCAUACACAUCCUUGUUAUCACCGUCUUGAUCGCUCCGAUUCUUUUUCCCCCCGUGACGUGGUUCGAUAAUGCGGAGCGCAACGGGGACUGUGCAGCUGGUCAUUGUUCGACCGUGUCACGGUUACCCCCCACCCCCUUCCCAUUCAUCCUCCCCCUUCAUUGUCUUCGUCGUAAGGCCCUCGUUAUCGAGGAAUGCGGCCCCCAGGACAAGGCUCCUGGUGCUUGUGUCUUCGAUGACUGUGGAGGCCCAGUCUUCCCCGAAAACCCCGCCCAGAGGAUUGACAGAAGUGGGUUGGGGGGCCGGGCGGUUGCCAGGCCCUCUACUUCCUCCGCGCUCGCCGGUCCUCCUCCGCAGCGACACGUCGAGUCUCGAGGACCCGGACCCCGUCCCGCACAGCCCCACGCCAAGCCGCCCGAUCCGCGGCCAGGUCAGCCCACUGUGCCGGGGGAAUCUUUAGCUGGUCUUUGAAUCGUCUUUUCGGGCCACCGCGGGGACAGGUGCCCUCCAGCAACUCCGCAUAGAGGAGCUGCUUCGGGAGACGGUCGUCGCUCAUCCGCUGCACGUGGCCGGCCCACAAGACCUUUCGGGCCUGCGCAGAGACGGAGAGACUCCAUCUCUGCGCAGAGACAAAGGAGUAGUUCUCCAUUUUCAUUGCAGUUGCCAACGCCUUCCGUCCCCAGAAUCACUCCCCACAGAUAACCAAGAGCUUAUCCCGGGGGUUGACGCGGAGGAGCAGGCCACGCAGCGCAGCAUAGAAGGACUCCUUCGCCUCCUCCGAGGCGUCCAGGGUAGGUGCGUAGGCGCUGAUGAUGGCAAGGGAUUGGGAUUGACACAGAGCUCGUCCGCUCCAGAAGAAGGUGUACCCGUGCCGAGGCUCCUCGAUCUGCCCGGCACCAGGGAGACGGGUCUCGGAGAGGGCCACAAUGUCCAGGCCGAGCUUCUGAAUCUCAAGGGCGAUGAGGGCAGUCCUGCACUCCGGUCUCUUUGCUCUUGCAUUGUCCAUCAGGGUUCGUACAUUCCAAGCGCCGAUUUCCAGGAAAGCAAUCCGGUUAUUGUAUUUGUAUUUGUUAUAUAAUACAAUUAUUAUACAGUUAUAUAUCCUCCCCUUUAUACAUGCUAUGUCUUGUGACAUGUUGUAACUGUCAUUCUUAUUCAUGUGCUAGGGUCUUUUUUUAUCCUGGACUUAAAUGAUCCUCGGAAGAGGAUAGUUCGAGCGUGGUUUUUUUUUUCCCUCUCCCUACCCAGCGUUUUUCCUUUCUGAAUUCUGAUUGUAAUUUCCCCAUUGCGGGACAAAUAAAGGAUAUCUUAACAUCUCAUUGUAAAGGCUAGCAAGAAUGUCAUGUUGUGUUGUGAAUAACACACACCCACACACAGACCUCAGGGGGAAAUAACGGAUCCAUUUUCAUCAGGAGGGGACAACAAGAGAUCAAUAAGGUGGCUGUGAGGGCAAACUGAGGGGUGUCCUUGGUGAUGAUGCUCGAUGAGAGAAGAGCGCAAAUCAGUUAUUGAAGCUUUCCCUGUGAAUGAUAAUGGCUGGUCAUUCCAAUGGCUGCCUGAUGUUUAUGUAUUUCAAGAUGUAUUUUCUAUAUUGAGGAACUGCUUCAGUCGACCGACAUUUUAUCUUCAAUUCUGAGGUCAUCUUAAUUCUGUCCCUUUCAGGGACCGCGGUUACUAGAGUUGACAGCUAUUCAAAUGUUUUUUUCUUGUAUAUUAAUUCAUCUUUAUGUCACAGUUGUGCAUCAACCACUACAAUUGACCCUUAUGUGGGUUGCCAUUCACUGCCAUUAUAUAUUUUUUCAUGCCUAAAGACGAAUAAAAACACUU